rnacentral:rRNA from 1 species
UUCCGGUUGAUCCCGCCGGACCCUACUGCUAUCGGGGUGGGGCUAAAACAUGCGUGUCGAACGCUUCCAAGCCAUGGAGGAAGCGUGGCAUACGGCUCAGUAACACGUGGCCAAUUCACCCUUGGGACAGAGACAACCCCGGGAAACUGGGGCUAAUCCCAGAUAAGCGAUGAGGCCUGGAAUGGUUCAUCACCCAAAAGCCUCCAGACCAUGCUCAAAGAGGCGCCCAAGGACAAAGCCGCGACCGAUCAGGCUGUUGGUAGGGCAACGGCCUACCAAACCCAUAACCGGUACGGGCCGUGAGAGCGGAAGCCCGGAGAUGGAUACUGAGACAAGGAUCCAGGCCCUACGGGGCGCAGCAGUUGCGAAAACUCCACAAUGCACGAAAGUGUGAUGGGGCUACCCCGAGUGCCGUCCGCUGAGGAUGGCUUUUCUCUGCUGUAAGGAGGCAGAGGAAUAAGGAGAGGGCAAGCCUGGUGUCAGCCGCCGCGGUAAUACCAGCUCUCCGAGUGGUAGGGAUGAUUAUUGGGCUUAAAGCGUCCGUAGCCGGCUGGACAAGUCUUCUGUUAAAUCCAGCAACCCAAUUGUUGGACUGCGGGAGAUACUGCCUAGCUAGAGAACGGGAGAAGCCGACGGUACUCUCAGGGUAGGAGUGAAAUCCUAUAAUC